GUGCUCACUUCAGUAGUACAUAUACUAAAAUUGGAAUGAUAUAAAGAAGAUUAACAUGGCCCCUGCACAAGGAUGAUAUGCAAAUUCAGGAAGUGUUUCAUAUUUUU